rnacentral:rRNA from 1 species
GAUGGACGCUGGCGGCGUGCCUAAUACAUGCAAGUCGAGCGAAUGGAUUGAGAGCUUGCUCUUAUGAAGUUAGCGGCGGACGGGUGAGUAACACGUGGGUAACCUGCCCAUAAGACUGGGAUAACUCCGGGAAACCGGGGCUAAUACCGGAUAACAUUUUGAACCGCAUGGUUCGAAAUUGAAAGGCGGCUUCGGCUGUCACUUAUGGAUGGACCCGCGUCGCAUUAGCUAGUUGGUGAGGUAACGGCUCACCAAGGCAACGAUGCGUAGCCGACCUGAGAGGGUGAUCGGCCACACUGGGACUGCGACACGGCCCAGACUCCUACGGGAGGCAGCAGUAGGGAAUCUUCCGCAAUGGACGAAAGCCUGACGGAGCAACGCCGCGUGAGUGAUGAAGGCUUUCGGGUCGUAAAACUCUGUUGUUAGGGAAGAACAAGUGCUAGUUGAAUAAGCUGGCACCUUGACGGUACCUAACCAGAAAGCCACGGCUAACUACGUGCCAGCAGCCGCAGUAA